GAAAGUUAAUAAGAGUGUAUGGUGGAUGCCUUGGCUCUCAGUGGCGAUGAAGGACGUGGUAAGCUGCGAUAAGCUUCGGGGAGGUGCAAACUACCUUCGAUCCGGAGAUUUCCGAAUGGGGCAACCCAUCAUAUUGAAGAUAUGAUAUCCGAAAGGAAGCAAACCCAGAGAACUGAAACAUCUAAGUACCUGGAGGAAGAGAAAACAAUAGUGAUUCCCCGAGUAGUGGUGAGCGAAAAGGGAACAGCCCAAACCAACAUUGUUAAGGCAAAGUUGGGGUUGUAGGACUACAAUAUGGACUUUAAAAUGAUAAUCGAAUCUUCUGGAAAGUUGAACCAAAGAAGGUGAUAGUCCUGUAAAUGAAAUCAUUUUAAUACCUAGUAGUAUCCUGAGUAGUGCGGGACCGGUGAAAUCCCGUAUGAAUCUGCCGGCACCAUCCGGUAAGGCUAAAUACUCCUGAGAGACCGAUAGCGAACCAGUACUGUGAAGGAAAGGUGAAAAGUACCCCGAACAGGGGAGUGAAAUAGAACCUGAAACCAUACACUUACAAACGGUUGGAGCCACUUCGUGUGGUGACAGCGUGCCUUUUGCAUAAUGAGCCUACGAGUUACUCCUCACUGGCAAGGUUAAAUGCGUUGACGCAUGUAGCCGAAGCGAAAGCAAGUCUGAAUAGGGCGCCCAGUCAGUGGGGGUAGACGCGAAACUUUAGUGAUCUAUCCAUGGUCAGGAUGAAGGCUCGGUAACACGAGCUGGAGGUCCGAACUAGUUGACGUUGAAAAGUCUUUGGAUGAACUGUGGAUAGGGGUGAAAGGCUAAUCAAACUGAGAGAUAGCUCGUACUCCCCGAAAUGCCUUUAGGGGCAGCCUCGAGGUUGAGUUUUAUAGAGGUAGAGCUACUGAUUGGAUGCGGGGGCUUCACCGCCUGCCAAAUCCAGACAAACUCCGAAUGCUAUAAAAUAUACUCGGGAGUGAGGCGCAGGGUGCUAAGGUCAUGCGCCGAGAGGGAAAGAACCCAGACCAUCAGCUAAGGUCCCUAAAUAUAUGCUAAGUUGAAACAACGCGGUUGGACUGCAUUGACAGCUAGGAUGUUGGCUUGGAAGCAGCCAUUCAUUUAAAGAGUGCGUAACAGCUCACUAGUCGAGCGAUCGGGCAUGGAUAAUACUCGGGCAUCAAGCAUAUUACCGAAGCUAUGGAUUGUACAUUGUACACUGGUAGGGGAGCAUUCCAGUCUGCGUUGAAGGUGUGUCGUAAGGCAUGCUGGAGCGUCUGGAAAAGCAAAUGUAGGCAUAAGUAACGAUAAUGUGGGUGGGAAACCCACACGCCGAAAGACCAAGGUUUCCUGAUCAACGCUAAUCGGAUCAGGGUUAGUCGGGACCUAAGACAAACCCGAACGGGGUAGUCGAUGGACAACAUGUUAAUAUUCAUGUACCGGCUCAAUUGCGAUGGGGUGGCGGAGGAGUGAAAGUUCUGCGUACUGACGGAAUAGUACGUUGAAGGGUGUAGAUAUAUUCUGAAUAGUAAAACACGUUUGGAAUGUCGAACCUGAUAGUACCGCAAGCCCUCGGGCAAGCGGAUAAUGAACCUAAUCAGACUCACAAGAAAAACCCCUAAGCUUCAGAUUGAAGCCGCCCGUACCGGAAACCGACACAGGUGGUCGAGGAGAGUAUCCAAAGGCGCUCGAGUGAUUCAUGGUUAAGGAACUAGGCAAAUUAGUCCUGUAACUUCGGAAUAAAGGACCCCUUAUUAAUAUGAGGGCGCAGAGAAAUGGCCCAGGCGACUGUUUAUCAAAAACACAUGGCUUUGCUAAAUCGAAAGAUGACGUAUAAGGCCUGACACCUGCCCGGUGCUGGAAGGUUAAGAGGAGAGGUUAGUCGCAAGGCGAAGCUUUGAAUUGAAGCCCCAGUAAACGGCGGCCGUAACUAUAACGGUCCUAAGGUAGCGAAAUUCCUUGUCGGGUAAGUUCCGACCUGCACGAAUGGUGUAACGAUCUGGGCACUGUCUCAACCAUGAGCUCGGUGAAAUUGUAGUUCCGGUGAAGAUGCCGGAUACCCGCAACGGGACGAAAAGACCCCGUGAACCUUCACUAUAACUUUGCAUUGACUUUGAAUAAACGAUGUGUAGGAUAGGUGGGAGACUGUGAAGCGGAGGCGCUAGCUUUCGUGGAGUCAACCUUGAAAUACCACCCUUUGUUUAUUUGAAGCCUAAUCCCGACCACGGGAGACAUUGCAUGGUGGGUAGUUUGACUGGGGUGGUCGCCUCCAAAAGAGUAACGGAGGCUUUCAAAGGUACCCUCAGCACGCUUGGUAACCGUGCGUAGAGUGUAAUGGCAUAAGGGUGCUUGACUGUGAGACCUACAAGUCGAUCAGGUAGGAAACUAGAGCAUAGUGAUCCGGUGGUUCCGCAUGGAAGGGCCAUCGCUCAAAGGAUAAAAGGUACUCCGGGGAUAACAGGCUGAUCAUUCCCAAGAGCUCAUAUCGACGGAAUGGUUUGGCACCUCGAUGUCGGCUCGUCACAUCCUGGGGCUGGAGAAGGUCCCAAGGGUUCGGCUGUUCGCCGAUUAAAGUGGCACGUGAGCUGGGUUCAGAACGUCGCGAGACAGUUCGGUCUCUAUCUGUUGUGGGCGUUGGAAAUUUGAGGGCACCUGACUCUAGUACGAGAGGACCGAGUCGGACAUACCGCUAGUGUACCUGUUAUGGCGCCAGCUGUACAGCAGGGUAGCUACGUAUGGUUGAGAUAAGCGCUGAAAGCAUCUAAGCGCGAAACUCAGCUCAAGAUGAGAUUUCCUUUAAGGGUCGUUGUAGACUACGACGUUGAUAGGUUGCAGGUAUAAAGGCAGUAAUGUCACAGCCGAGCAAUACUAAUUACCCGUAAAUUUUCUGCUG
rnacentral:rRNA from 1 species